CAGUAGCCGCGGGAAUACGUAGGGUGCGAGCGUUAAUCGGAAUUACUGGGCGUAAAGCGUGCGCAGGCUGUUUUGUAAGACAGAGGUGAAAUCCCCGGGCUCAACCUGGGAACUGCCUUUGUGACUGCAAGGCUAGAGUACGGCAGAGGGGGAUGGAAUUCCGCGUGUAGCAGUGAAAUGCGUAGAUAUGCGGAGGAACACCGAUGGCGAAGGCAAUCCCCUGGGCCUGUACUGACGCUCAUGCACGAAAGCGUGGGGAGCAAACAGGAUUAGAUACCCCAGUAGUCCCUGUCUCUUAUAC
rnacentral:rRNA from 1 species